AACACAAUCAAAAACGUAUCAAAAACGGGAAAAUAGAUCCAUUGAACUUGCAACCAUUGAACUUGUUGACAAAAUCACCCAAGCAAUCGAUAAAGGAGAAUACACAACAGGUAUCUUCCUCGAUUUGUCAAAAGCCUUUGACACAAUUAAUCACAAGAUACUGAUUCAAAAGCUAGAACACUAUGGUAUACGCGCGGAAUAACAAGACAGUGGUUUGAAGAUUACUUAAAAAACAGAAAACAGAUUGUUAAAUAUAACCAAGUUAAAUCAAAAGCAAUGAUAAUUAAAAGUGGUGUCCCACAGGGGUCAAUUCUUGGACCAAUUUUAUUUCUUCUCUAUAUCAAUGAUAUUGAAAAUUGUAGCAAAUUAAUUUCAUUUAUAUUAUUUGCAGAUGACACUAAUAUAUUCUAUAGUAACAAGUGUCUAAAAACACUUAAUAAGAUAAUGCAAACUGAAAUUGAUAAAGUUGCUGACUGGUUAAAUGCGAAUAAGUUAUCUCUAAAUACUACAAAAAUAAAAG
rnacentral:lncRNA from 1 species